rnacentral:rRNA from 1 species
GAUGAACGCUGGCGGCGUGCCUAAUACAUGCAAGUCGAGCGAAUGGAUUAAGAGCUUGCUCUUAUGAAGUUAGCGGCGGACGGGUGAGUAACACGUGGGUAACCUGCCCAUAAGACUGGGAUAACUCCGGGAAACCGGGGCUAAUACCGGAUAACAUUUUGAACCGCAUGGUUCGAAAUUGAACGGCGGCUUCGGCUGUCGCUGAUGGAUGGACCCGCGUCGCAUUAGCUAGUUGGUGAGGUAACGGCUCACCAAGGCAACGAUGCGUAGCCGACCUGAGAGGGUGAUCGGCCACACUGGGACUGAGACACGGCCCAGACUCCUACGGGAGGCAGCAGUAGGGAAUCUUCCGCAAUGGACGAAAGUCUGACGGAGCAACGCCGCGUGAGUGAUGAAGGCUUUCGGGUCGUAAAACUCUGUUGUUAGGGAAGAACAAGUGCUAGUUGAAUAAGCUGGCACCUUGACGGUACCUAACCAGAAAGCCACGGCUAACUACGUGCCAGCAGCCGCAGUAA